AUAUUUACCUGGCAGGAGAGAUAUCAUGAUCACCAAGGUGGUUUUCUCAGAGCAAGACUUAUCCAUUGCUUGGCAAUCUUGAACAAACCACAGACCUCUCCAUCUCCAGAGAAGGGUGACUCACAUAGGGGACCUCUCA
rnacentral:snRNA from 1 species